rnacentral:rRNA from 1 species
CACGCCCUAAACGUUGUGAACUAGGUGUUGGUCGGAUUGACCCGAUCAGUGCCGCAGCUAACGCAUUAAGUUCACCGCCUGGGGACUACGGCCGCAAGGUUAAAACUCAAAGGAAUAGGCGGGGGCCCGCACAAGCAGCGGAGCGUGUGGUUUAAUUCGAGGCAACGCGAAAAACCUUACCUGGGCUUGACAUGCAGAGGAAAUUCUCGUGAAAGCGAGAACCUCCCGCAAGGGACUUCUGCGCACGUGGUGCAUGGCUGUCUACAGCUCAAGGCGUGCGCUGU